rnacentral:rRNA from 1 species
CCAAUCUAGAGUNUCGGAGAGGAAAGUGGAAUUCCUAGUGUAGCGGUGAAAUGCGUAGAUAUUAGGAAGAACACCAGUGGCGAAGGCGACUUUCUGGACGAAAACUGACGCUGAGGCGCGAAAGCCAGGGGAGCGAACGGGAUUAGAUACCCCGGUAGUCCUGGCCGUAACCGAUGGGUACUAGGUGUAGGAGGUAUCGACCCCUUCUGUGCCGGAGUUAACGCAAUAAGUACCCCGCCUGGGGAGUACGACCGCAAGGUUGAAACUCAAAGGAAUUGACGGGGGCCCGCACAAGCGGUGGAGUAUGUGGUUUAAUUCGACGCAACGCGAAGAACCUUACCAGGUCUUGACAUUGAUGGACAGAACCAGAGAUGGUUCCUCUUCUUCGGAAGCCAGAAAACAGGUGGUGCACGGUUGUCGUCAGCUCGUGUCGUGAGAUGUUGGGUUAAGUCCCGCAACGAGCGCAACCCCUAUCUUAUGUUGCCAGCACGUAAAGGUGGGAACUCAUGAGAGACUGCCGCAGACAAUGCGGAGGAAGGCGGGGAUGACGUCAAAUCAUCAUGCCCCUUAUGACCUGGGCUACACACGUACUACAAUGGGAGUUAAUAGACGGAAGCGAGAUCGCGAGAUGGAGCAAACCCGAGAAACACUCUCUCAGUUCGGAUCGUAGGCUGCAACUCGCCUACGUGAAGUCGGAAUCGCUAGUAAUCGCAGGUCAGCAUACUGCGGUGAAUACGUUCCCGGGCCUUGUACACACCGCCCGUCACACCACGAAAGUCGGAAGUGCCCAAANCCGG